rnacentral:lncRNA from 1 species
CUUGACCCUGUCUUUCUGUCUCUUUUACCUUCUAACCACAGGUAUCUAGGGUUUCAGAUCACAUGCCUCCAAGUUAAUGUCCACAUCUGAAACAUCAACUCCUCUACUGAGUUAACAAAUCAGUGGGUCAUUCUUCAAAGAUGAUGCCCUUUGCUCAAGAGUGAACGGGGAAGAAGGAGCUCAUGUGUGUGAGGAGGAUGCAAGGAUCUGUGGGAUCCAGACAACACCCUUGUGCCUUGCUAGGAGUAGAGGAGAUGGGCUAGCUAUGCAAAGAGCAGACGCCGGGAAAGUACCGCACUCCCAAAGUGUGUGGAGGCAAUCGCUUUGUUUUGGUCCGGCAGGAAAGAUUAAAAUGAAAAGGUGGAUAAUGCGGAUGAUGAUGGUCUUCGCGCAGCAGGAGGAUGCUCCAGGAGAACUGUCUGCAGGAACGGAAUGGCCUUGUUGCUUUCUCUCUCAGACUCCACAGAUUUGGGCGACAUGAAGGGAUCCUAGGUUUUGAUAAUAAUCGUUGAGGAAUUUUGGCCAUUCAGCUUUACUAAAGAGACCUGAUCAGACAGUAAGUCAUGCCAAGUUGUGACCCAGAAAGCCAAACGGGGAACAUCAGGGCCCUUUGCCGUGGGAAGAAUUGAUGUCAGACCAAAGGAGAACAGAGGAGUUAUAUUUGUGAUAACUCCCAAAGGUAUGCUCCAGAUAAUGCUACAUGUUAGGAAUACAAAUGAACCAGAAAUUAAUUUUCUUGUUCAAACUGGACUUUUUUGUGUGUCAUGUGAUAGUUUAGAACCCUAAAAUCCUUUGAUCAAGAUUAAUGUGGUUUUCUACUGGUUAUGUCUCUAAAACGCUCAGGGAAGGUAUUACCAUCUUAAGCCUCAAAUUAUCCUAGUAAAUAUUUUUUUCAGAUAAAAUGUAUAGCACACGGUUAAAAAUGAUAUGGUACACAAGGAAAUAAAAUACAGAGGGAGAGAGAGAGAGCAGAAGCCGAAGACUGUCCAGACACAUGGGCGAUACAGACGCUGGAACUCUGCCGGGCAGCAACAGAGGGGAUACUGAGUAAAGGUCAGACAGGAGGAGAGUGAGGCUGAAUCUGUAGCCGGAGACACAGGAAGACAACAACGAUGAGCUGUGGCCCAGUGGACAUGGAUGUUGACCUGUGAUCGUCAUCGUCUUCACCACCCUCAUGCCGACCAGAAGAGAGAAGUGUGCGCAGAAGGAAGUACAGAAUGUCAGAGGCAUAAAAGCAAAGACAGAGUCAGAGAAGCAGAGAGGACUUUAAAGGAUGUAGGGACGCUGCAUUAUCUAGGAUAAGAUUAUUAACAUCAAAUUUUGAUGCAGGUCCACAAAUAUUAUAAUUUCAAGGGUAAUUAUGGAAUGAGUCACAAAUGCUUAUAAUAGAAGGGAAAAUGAAUAAUUGAAAUAAAAGCAAUUAAGUGUGUAGAGAGAAAAUGGAGAGAAAAAAAGCAUAAAAUAAGCACGUAUCAAAUGUCAGAUGUACAUGUGCAUGUGUCAAAUUCUGUGAGUGUAACUGAAGUACAUAUUGUGGUUGAAGUGAUCAGACUAUGCUAAGAAGAAACUUUAUAGUCUUUAUGAGAUGCAGUCACAUAUAAGGAUUUAGAAAGAAAAUGGGGAAAAUGAUUGGAAAAAUAUACAUUAAAAGCUAAAGCUGAAAGUGAAAGCUAAUAGCUAUAUUAAUAUUGGAUAAAAUAGACUUUAAGAUGAAAAACAUCAGUGUAAAUAAUAUAUAGAUUAUGACAAGAGAAUACCACACCAGGAAGCUAGGGUGUUUCUAAGCUUCUUUACUAAAUAUAAUGUCAAUAUGUGUAUCAUGGAGAUUAUGAAAACCUCAGGGCUCGGUAGACAAAGUUACCAGUAUUAAGGAUGCCUUUACUGUAUGCCUAUCAGAGGAGAGAGCAAUCAGAUGAUAAUCAGCAAUAAUUCAAAGCUGAAAAACACACCACUCAAACCUGCCCCAAAGGUUCCCAGAGAACAAAUUCUUACAAAGAUGGAACUGAUUAUUCUCAAGUGCAUAUACAAUACUCAUAAACAUUUAUCCAAUACAGGGCAAGUGCAUCGCUGAUGAUGGGCAGCUGUUGUGAUGGUGGCUGGGCAUAAUUACCAGAAAACCAAGAGGUCUGCUCCACUUUGCUUAUUAAAGUUAAUCAGCCACUGCAGAGGCUGUCGACUCCUAAUGAUUUUCGUUAAAUUUGGAAAAAAGUUGAACUGCAGAUUAAUUUCAGCAUCCUUCCUCCAGAUACUUCUCAUUGAAAAGAUUCCUGAUUUUGAAGAGGACGUGUGCAUCACAGAAGAUUUAAAAACAUGGGGAUACAAGAUUCUUUCUCUGCAGGCCUGUGAAGGAUGCAGAGACCCCUGAAGCUGGUACCCAACAUGGGGCUACUUCUCAUCCCUUGUGAAGUCCAAAUCCUCAUGUUUUAAAGGGAUGCAGGGACCAAUCAAGGUGCGAAGGGAGUAUUUUCUGAAGCCUCUUUUCAGAACUGUGGCUGUCACUCCAUUCAUAAGAUGACUUUGUACAACAUUGGUCCUGAUAGAAGCAGAGGGACUUCAAUAGCAAUAACAUGCAACUCCCGAGACAGGUAUUUUGCAGUUCUAAUUUUUACUUCCGUAUGUUGCAGGAACAGAUGCAUAUUGUUUCAUUGUGAUUUGCUCCA